rnacentral:rRNA from 1 species
GAACGCUUGCGGCGUGCUUAACACAUGCAAGUCGAACGAGAAAGGGGACUUCGGUUCCUGAGUAAAGUGGCGCACGGGUGAGUAACGCGUAGAUAAUCUACCCUAGUGUACGGGACAACAUCGGGAAACUGGUGCUAAUACCGAAUACGCUUCUUUAGAUGCGAAUUUUUAGAAGGAAAGGUGGCCUCUUCAUGAAAGCUACUGCACAAGGAUGAGUCUGCGUACCAUUAGCUAGUUGGUGGGGUAAUGGCCUACCAAGGCUUCGAUGGUUAGCGGGUCUGAGAGGAUGAUCCGCCACACUGGCACUGGAACACGGGCCAGACUCCUACGGGAGGCAGCAGUGAGGAAUUUUGCACAAUGGGGGCAACCCUGAUGCAGCGACGCCGCGUGAGUGAUGAAGGCCCUUGGGUCGUAAAGCUCUGUCAAUAGGGAAGAAAUGUCUAAUGGUUAAUACCCAUAAGAUUUGACGGUACCUAUAAAGGAAGCACCGGCUAAAUCCGUGCCAGCAGCCGCGGUAAUACGGAUGGUGCGAGCGUUGUUCGGAAUUACUGGGCGUAAAGGGCGCGUAGGCGGCGUGUCAAGUCAGAUGUGAAAGCCCACGGCUCAACCGUGGAAGUGCAUCUGAAACUGGCAUGCUUGAGUACUGGAGAGGAAAGUGGAAUUCCUGGUGUAGAGGUGAAAUUCGUAGAUAUCAGGAGGAAUACCGGUGGCGAAGGCGACUUUCUGGACAGAUACUGA